AACAAUAUGGCGUUUCCUUUGUUUUCAUAUGGAGUUAUUAUUAUUGCUUUCCGAGCUUAAAAAGAUUUUUAAAAUAUAGUGUAUUGGAUUGUAAAAUUAUUAAAAAUUUGUGUGCUGUGAUGGCUGUGUGAAAGAAUCGUACCCUGGCUGUGGAUUAUCUUUUCACAGUUUGCCUUCAGAUUUAGAGCUAAAGAAAAAGUGGUUAGAAGUGAAACCCGGGAACUUACGUCAAAGCUCUGUAGUUUGUUCACUUCAUUUCAAACCUGAAGAUUAUCGAACAGAACAGCGGAAAAGAUUAAAACCUGGAGUGAAUCCUUCUAUCUUUCUAAAGAUUUUUCCCGAAAAUAAAAUUAAAUUGUUAAGCAUUAUACGCUUCAAUACUGUAGAAAACGAACAACCUGGAUUUUCUAAAAGUUUUUAGUUAAAAAAAUUUACACAAACAUCAACUUUGCUUGCAAGUUACAACCA